AUUGAACGCUGGCGGCAGGCCUAACACAUGCAAGUCGGGCGUGCGGCUGACGGGUGUGUAAUGUAUGGGGCUCUGCCUGCUGGUUGGGGAUAACUACUGGAAACGGUAGCUAAUACCGCAUACCAACAGAUGAACCCAUAGGGGAUUAGCUUGUCGGGGAGGUAACGGCUCACCUAGGCGACGAUCCCUAGCUGGUCGGAGAGGAUAAACAGCCACACUGGGACUGAGACAUGGCCUAGAUCCCUACGGGAGGCAGGAGUGGGGAAUAUGGCGCAAUGGGGGCAAGCCUGACGCAGCCAUGCCGCGUGAAUGAAGAAGGCCUUCGGGUUGUAAAGUUGUUACGGUGUCGAGGCGUUAACUGCAGAAGAAGCACCGGCUAACUCCGUGCCAGCAGCCGCGGUAAUAC
rnacentral:rRNA from 1 species